CAUGGAAGUGCUAAGGUGCCUAGUAUCCGUCUGUCCGGGUGACUCUGGCUUGGGGGUUGGGUGGCCUUGCCUGCGUCCAGCGACAUGGGGAGGUGUGUGUGGAAAACCAGAUGCCACCUCACUCACAUGGCGCGGGGCGGUGGCUGGGGGUUGGAGGUGAUGGCUACUGGUUCCUCCCCCACUGGGGACCAUUUCCAGGGAUGCUGCUACCCACAAGCCUGGAUCCUGGCGUGCUCCGCGGCUCUCCUUCAAGCCCUGGCCUCAUCAGACCUCCAAGGCUCCCUAGACAGGGUUAAUUAUUCACGUGGCCUGGGACCCAGGGUUCGUUUGUUUGUUUUUCCCGACACAGUAGGGUCCACGAGGAAGUCAGGAUCCACCGGCAAUAUUUGCAGUGUUAUGUUGAAUGUGGCAACUGGCUGCGUGAGGAUAGAGAAGUAAACAGCAUGUCCGGUGGCAGUCGGUUACCACACAGAAUUUAGGAGGCCCAGUGAAAUGCAAAUGCUAGGUAAGUGACACGUAAGUUUUUGAUAUAAGCAUAUCCCAGGCAACAUUUAUUUAUUGGAAAUUGAAACUCACAUUUAACCGGCCAUAUUAUUU
rnacentral:lncRNA from 10 species